UACGGAGGGUGCAAACGUUGCUCGGAAUCAUUGGGCGUAAAGCGCACGUAGGCGGCCUGUUAAGUCGGAUGUGAAAGCCCCGGGCUCAACCCGGGAAGUGCAUUCGAAACUGGCGGGCUUGAAUAUGGAAGAGGGUCGCGGAAUUCCCGGUGUAGAGGUGAAAUUCGUAGAUAUCGGGAGGAACACCAGUGGCGAAGGCGGCGACCUGGGCCAAUAUUGACGCUGAGGUGCGAAAGCGUGGGGAGCAAACAGGGAGUUAAGA
rnacentral:rRNA from 1 species